UCCCGGGCGCGUGGCUGAGACUCGGCGCGGGUGGCGGGGUGAGCGCGGGCGCGAGCCGAGCGCACAGCCGAGGCGGCGGGCAGCCCGGGUUAUCUGAGCCUCUCGGUCUUGGGUGGCUGCGUCCAGAUCUCCGGGCGGCGGCAGCCAAGGCGAGACGCGCUGUCGGGCCGCGGAGGAGCGGAGAAGCGAGACCCAGGCCCAAACUGCAGCGGCGAGGAGCAGAGCAUGGAACAGCGCGCCGGCCAGGCAGGUUGACUGCAGGUUCUGGGAGGACCAGCUUUCUUUGUUUGGAACCCGGCUGGACAGGAUUUCCUUCCCGAAGUCUCUGCCAAUGGGCCAGCUCCUCCCAACGGCUUUGGCCAGCUUGCCGGAAGGGGACCAUGCUGGAGGCCACAAUUAACCCGGCUGUUGGUGGGGUGGGGGCAGGGGUAGUAUUUAACUGAUACCCUGACAGUUGGGGAGGUGCAGUGGGCAAGGGGCACAGGAAGGAGUGGGAAUGGAAGAGUGGCAGGCAAGAGAGACAGAAAGCAGAGUGAUGAACAUGGACAGGGUGUGGUAUAGUCAAUAGAAAGAAAAAAGUUUGAAAGGGAGGAAUAUAGGAAGGAAGGCGGUUAAGAAUCCUCGUCACCUUUACAGGGAAGGUAACUUCCCUACAAGUUGGAUGGAAAACACCAACCCCUGUCCUUCCCAAGCACCCCAAACCCUCCCUUCCUUCUUUGUGGAAGGUUAAGGGUUCAAAAAGCUAGGCACUUAUUCCUUAA